rnacentral:lncRNA from 1 species
UACUUAUUAAAUAACGUAGAAAUAAAUAAAAUACAGAAUAAAUAAUCAAAUAAUUAUUCAUGUAAUCAUUGUUGUAAGAAAAAGUAAUUAUUGAAAUAAUGAAAAAUAAUGCUUCAAAAAAAUCAAUUUUCUUUUUUUGUGAAUAAUUACUUUUUGUCAUAAUAAUAAUUACUUUGGAAUAAUGUAAAAAUAAAAAAUACAAAACAAAACAAAAUAAAAAAUUAGACAAAAAGUAAUUAUUAUUAUGCAAAAAAAUUAAAAUUGAGAAAUAGGAAAAAUGAAAAAGAUAAAAAGCUAGGAAAAAAAAACAAAAAAAAACAAAAAAAAAAUGAGAAUCAAAGAAACAACCAAAAUAAAAACAAAAUAAUGGGGCAAGGAACCCCUUCCCUUUAGGCUAUGUUUAUCAGCAAGCAUCCAACCACCCAACCAUCCAACCAUCUUCAAUAUUUAAUUAAUUUCUUCCACAUCACUAAAUUUAUCCCAACCCAACCACCUCUAUUUUUGUUGAUUUAUCAAUGACCACCCCAACCACCCAACCACAACAUUAUAUAUAAUUAUUUUAUUAUUAUUUUUAAUCAUAAUAAUUUUAAUAAUAUUAAAUAUAAAUUAAAAUAUUAAAAAAAUUAAAAGAAAAAAAAACAAACUAAUAAAAAUUUAAAUUACAACAAACUAAAAAUAUAAAUUACAACAAUGCAAACUCGAAAUAGAAAAAAACAAUACAUACUAAGCAUUUAAUUAUCAUCGCCAAACUUUUGCCAAAUAUGCUCGAUCAAGUCAUUUUUAAGAGCAUUGUGAGCUUCCCUGUUACGAAGUUGUGUCCUGUUCCUCAUAUAGCUUUCAAGACUUGCAAUCCGUUCCGUGAAAAAUUCAAAAUUAGGACCAUCAUUAGCUUCAAC